GUGAGGUAACGGCUCACCAAGGCUUCGACGGGUAGCUAGUCUGAGAGGACGAAUAGCCACACUGGAACUGAGACACGGUCCAGACUCCUACGGGAGGCAGCAGUGGGGAAUCUUGCACAAUGGGCGAAAGCCUGAUGCAGCGACGCCGCGUGGGGGAUGAAGGCCCUAGGGUCGUAAACCCCUUUCAGUAGGGACGAAAAUGACGGUACCUACAGAAGAAGCCCCGGCCAACUACGUGCCAGCAGCCGCGGUAAGACGUAGGGGGCGAGCGUUGUCCGGAUUUAUUGGGCGUAAAGAGCUCGUAGGCGGUUCAGUCAGUCGGGUGUGAAAACUUGAGGCUUAACCUCAAGAGGUCACUCGAUACUACUGUGACUAGAGUGCGGUAGGGGAGCGGGGAAUUCCUGGUGUAGCGGUGAAAUGCGCAGAUAUCAGGAGGAACACCAGUGGCGAAGGCGCCGCUCUGGGCCGUAACUGACGCUGAGGAGCGAAAGCAUGGGUAGCAAACAGGAUUAGAUACCCUGGUAGUCCAUGCCGUAAACGUUGGGCACUAGGUGUGGGUCUCAACCAACGAGAUCCGCGCCGUCGCUAACGCAUUAAGUG
rnacentral:rRNA from 1 species